rnacentral:rRNA from 1 species
AUUGAACGCUGGCGGCAGGCCUAACACAUGCAAGUCGAACGAGUGGCGGACGGGUGAGUACUGUCUUGGAAACUGCCUGAUGGAGGGGGAUAACUACUGGAAACGGUAGCUAAUACCGCAUACUAUCAGAUGUGCCCAGAUGGGAUUAGCUAGUAGGUGGGUUAAAGGAUCACCUAGGCUACGAUCCCUAGCUGGUAUGAGAGGAUGACCAGCCACACUGGAACGGAGACACGGGCAAGAGGCCUUCGGGAGGCAGCAGUGGGGAAGAGUGCACAAUGGGCGGAGGCCUGAUGCAGACAUGCCGCGUGUGUGAAGAAGGCCUUCGGGUUGUAAAGCACUUUCAGCGGGGAGGCGUUACCCGCAGAAGAAGCACCGGCUAACGCCGUGCCAGCAGCCGCGGUAAUAC